ACACUUUUAAGAAUCAAUGACUUUAGCAUAAACCGUCGAAUCCUGUCAACGGCAAUUACGGCAUCCAACACCAGCCCAGCACAGUCACCUACCCAUAUGGCCACGCCCUCGGCAUAUCCACAGCCUCCGGCACACAAUAUCAAUUAUCGGGCUUCAAGUGUCGCUCAACUGUCACGUCAAACACCAACACGAAAUACGAAAGAGUAAGAACGUUUGUGAGACGCUUUGUACGCUUCACAACUUAUAUACCC
rnacentral:lncRNA from 1 species